rnacentral:rRNA from 1 species
AUUGAACGCUGGCGGCAGGCCUAACACAUGCAAGUCGAACGAGUGGCGGACGGGUGAGUAAUGUCUGGGAAACUGCCCGAUGGAGGGGGAUAACUACUGGAAACAGUAGCUAAUACCGCAUACCAUCGGAUGUGCCCAGAUGGGAUUAGCUAGUGGGUGGGGGAACGGCUCACCUGGGCGACGAUCCCUAGCUGAUCUGAGGGGAUGACCAGCCCAACUGGACCUGAGACACGGUCCAGACUCUAACGGGAGCAAGCAGUGGGGAAUAUUGCACAAGGGGGGCAAGCCUGAUGCAGCCAUGCCGCGUGGAUGAAGAAGGCCUUCGGGUUGUAAAGUACUUUCAGCGAGGAGGCGUUACUCGCAGAAGAAGCACCGGCUAACUCCGUGCCAGCCGCCGCGGUAAUAC